rnacentral:rRNA from 1 species
UUUGACCUACGGGGGGCAGCAGUGGGGGAUAUUGCACAAUGGGGGGCACCCUGAUGCAGCGACGCCGCGUGGGCGAUGGAGUGCUUCGGCAUGUAAAGCUCUAUCAGCAGGGAAGAAAAUGACGGUACCUGACUAAGAAGCCCCGGCUAACUACGUGCCAGCAGCCGCGGUAAUACGUAGGGGGCAAGCGUUAUCCGGAUUUACUGGGUGUAAAGGAAGCGUAGACGGUGCAGCAAGUCUGAUGUGAAAGGUCGGGGCCCAACCCCGGGACUGCAUUGGAAACUGUUGAACUGGAGUACAGGAGG